GGGGAGCUGGCUCAGAGGUUAAGAGCACUGGCUGUUCUUCCAGAGGACCAGGGUUCAAUUCCCAGUACCCA
rnacentral:tRNA from 1 species